rnacentral:rRNA from 1 species
AUUGAACGCUGGCGGCAGGCCUAACACAUGCAAGUCGAACGAGGGGCGGACGGGUGAGUAAUGUCUGGGAAACCGCCUGAUGGAGGGGGAUCACUACUGGAAACGGUAGCUAAUACCGCAUCCCAUGAGAUGUGCCCAGAUGGGAUUAGCUUGUUGGUGGGGUAACGGCUCAACAAGGCGACGAUCCCUAGCUGGUCGGAGAGGAUGACCAGCGACACGGGAACUGAGACACGGUCCAGACUCCUACGAGAGGCAGCAGUGGGGAAUAUUGCACAAUGGGCGCAAGCCUGAUGCAGCCAUGCCGCGUGUAUGAAGAAGGCCUUCGGGUUGUAAAGUACUUUCAGCGGGGAGGCGUUACCCGCAGAAGAAGCACCGGCUAACUCCGGGCCAGCAGCCGCGGUAAUAC